rnacentral:rRNA from 1 species
AUUGAACGCUGGCGGCAGGCCUAACACAUGCAAGUCGAACGGUAACAGGAAGCAGCUUGCUGCUUCGCUGACGAGUGGCGGACGGGUGAGUAAUGUCUGGGAAGCUGCCUGAUGGAGGGGGAUAACUACUGGAAACGGUAGCUAAUACCGCAUAAUGUCGCAAGACCAAAGAGGGGGACCUUCGGGCCUCUUGCCAUCGGAUGUGCCCAGAUGGGAUUAGCUUGUUGGUGGGGUAGCGGCUCACCAAGGCGACGAUCCCUAGCUGAUCUGAGAGGAUGACCAGCCACACUGGAACUGAGACACGGUCCAGACUCCUACGGGAGGCAGCAGUGGGGAAUAUUGCACAAUGGGCGCAAGCCUGAUGCAGCCAUGCCGCGUGUAUGAAGAAGGCCUUCGGGUUGUAAAGUACUUUCAGCGGGGAGGAAGGGAGUAAAGUUAAUACCUUUGCUCAUCGACGUUACCCGCAGAAGAAGCACCGGCUAACUCCGUG